GAUGGUAGAUUAUGCUAAAUAGUGAGAUGUUAUUGGAGGUGUGGAUGAGGAAGUUUGUUGUUGUAAUCCUUCUUUGCACCUUAUUUUAAAGAAUAAAUGAAACAUUUUUCUGGUUGCCUUUUAAAAAUUUUAAAUGGAGGGGAAGAAUAGGGGCAGGGCAUUAUUAGGUUACUUCUCAUGCAUCAGCGUUAUAAAUUCAACACAUAGACUGACAACCUAAAUUAAUGGUGGAACACAGUUCUUUUCCAUUUUUUUUUUUUGUAUCUGUUUAAUGAAAAUAAGAAGGUACAACCCAAGUUUUGUACUCUGACUAGAGGGAUUCCACUUCAAGGUCUGAAAGUAGGACUUUUACCUUAAAAACAAUGACAAACAAAAACUAUCACACAGGAUGGCUAAGAAGAUGCUUAAACAGUUUUGUGUGGAUCUUGUUGGUGCUGAACUAUGGCAUGAGCCUUAUAGAUUGUAAAAUAGAGAUAGUCGGAGCUAAUGUAAAAAAUUAAAUUUUUAAACUUUAUUUGUUGUUAAAUUCUGUGAAGUUUCAGUUAUCUAAAAUAAACAUACACAAAUAUGAAAAUAAAAUAAAAUUCUAUGUUUUUGAUGAAUGCUAACCUUCUGAUGUUGCCUUCUAAGCAAAUUGAAAGCUGCCUUCUACUGAAUGAGGAAGAGAACAAAUACUUGGCUGAAUGAAGUACUGCAAAAGACUUGCAUGCACUUUGAAGAAAGACUUAAGUCACUGUCAUAUGAUUUCCAUUCUUUUUAGUUUUUUCUUUAAUAGAUGACAAAAUACUUACACAGAGUGAUAUUUCAGUUACUAUAGUAAAUGUAUUUUCCAGUCUGACAUUCAGCUUAAAUAUGCCUGUAUGUGAUUUACUCCAGAGGUACUUGAUGAACACAUUAUUGUCGGAUUGGGUACAGAUGCAAAACACUAUCUGAAGGUCAUCCCUAGUCAUUUCUGUUUCUUAGGGUAAAAGUGAAGUGAUUUGAACUAUCAAAACCCCUUUGAAAUAAUUUAUCAAUGUAUCAGAUAAACGCAGUUUCAGAAUGAUUAAAAGAAACUGUUUGACCAAAUAAUGUGGCUGAUUAACAGUGGUAUGAUUUCUAGCCUGAGGGCUGAAAAUGGACUUAGAGUAACUGUCUUUAAACUGAACU